rnacentral:rRNA from 1 species
AUCUUCCGCAAUGGACGAAAGUCUGACGGAGCAACGCCGCGUGAGUGAUGAAGGCUUUCGGGUCGUAAAACUCUGUUGUUAGGGAAGAACAAGUACGAGAGUAACUGCUCGUACCUUGACGGUACCUAACCAGAAAGCCACGGCUACCUACGUGCCAGCAGCCGCGGUAAUACGUAGGUGGCAAGCGUUAUCCGGAAUUAUUGGGCGUAAAGCGCGCGCAGGCGGUUUCUUAAGUCUGAUGUGAAAGCCCACGGCUCAACCGUGGAGGGUCAUUGGAAACUGGGGAACUUGAGUGCAGAAGAGAAAAGCGGAAUUCCACGUGUAGCGGUGAAAUGCGUAGAGAUGUGGAGGAACACCAGUGGCGAAGGCGGCUUUUUGGUCUGUAACUGACGCUGAGGCGCGAAAGCGUGGGGAGCAAACAGG